rnacentral:lncRNA from 1 species
AGAGUUUGUUGUGCUGGGUUCACAUGUCAUAGACUGAGUGGCAGAGUGAGCAUUGCAAUCUGGAGUUUUUGACUAGUGCCUUUCCACUUCAGUGCCUCUGGGAAACACAGGCUAGGUCUUACCACAUCCAUGACUGGCACUUGAAUGUGAGUUUGUUUAUCCUUCCUUUGUGAAAACUAGGUUUCAUAGUGGAGAAGAGGACACUUCAGUAUCUAAGGCGGACCUGAGGUUAGGAAUAGAAAGCAGAGAGAAGAGGUCGGACUUCAUCCAGAGCCAGCCUGGAAACAUCAAUUUCCAACGUGCGCGAAUACCGUCGCGCGAAGUUGUGGCCGUUUUGAGGGCAGUAACGGCAUCAGCAAUACCAGCAAACUGGGGAAAAGCUGCACCACAGACAGCGACAGACACAGGCUUUUUGGAACCUCAAACAGAGCGGAAGGAAAAUGGCAGAUGCUCUGCUGAAGUUUGAGGAAACACAGUUUUAUAAUCAAAGCUUGAUGGAGAAAGAAACUAGUCAUGUGACCAUUUGCCAAAAUAACAUAAGAAAUCAAAGAUGGAUCAAAGGACUAAAGUCUAGUUCAUGUAGCUUAUAACCCAUACUGCCAUCCCUCUUUCACUCAAGGAAGGAAUGAUUCGAAGUAAAUCACAACAAAGUGGAUAAAAAAUUAAAACCCUCAACUAUUGGUCCUACUGAUUAUGGCUCGAUGAUUUUACAUUUGGAUUUGGGAGAUUACAAAUUUGUCAGGUCUUCAAGCAAAGAGAGUCAUCUUCAGGCUUGGGCAAGAUUUCCCAACACCAGUGAAAUGUUUUGAAGAAGGAACAUGGUCCUUCCUACCCAGUGCAACCCCACUUCUUCACUCUGUCAAGGAUGUGGCUUAAGGUUUUCUGUUUGCUGCUCCCAGUGACAGAUGCCUUUCUUCUUAUAAUUGUAAUUUGCACAUCUGAUUAUUUAAGAGCAAGACUAUAAUCGGAGGGUGGGAAGGGAUGGGAUUUCAAAAUUGUAGAAUAGAUAAACAAGAUUAUACUUUAUAGCACGGGGAAAUAUACACAAGAUCUUAUGGUAGCUCACAGAGGAAAAAAUGUGACAAU